rnacentral:rRNA from 1 species
GAUGAACGCUGGCGGCGUGCCUAAUACAUGCAAGUCGAGCGAACAGACGAGGAGCUUGCUCCUCUGACGUUAGCGGCGGACGGGUGAGUAACACGUGGAUAACCUACCUAUAAGACUGGGAUAACUUCGGGAAACCGGAGCUAAUACCGGAUAAUAUAUUGAACCGCAUGGUUCAAUAGUGAAAGACGGUUUUGCUGUCACUUAUAGAUGGAUCCGCGCCGCAUUAGCUAGUUGGUAAGGUAACGGCUUACCAAGGCAACGAUGCGUAGCCGACCUGAGAGGGUGAACGGCCACACUGGAACUGAGACACGGUCCAGACUCCUACGGGAGGCAGAAGUAGGGAAGCUUCCGCAAUGGGCGAAAGCCUGACGGAGCAACGCCGCGUGAGUGAUGAAGGUCUUCGGAUCGUAAAACUCUGUUAUUAGGGAAGAACAAAUGUGUAAGUAACUAUGCACGUCUUGACGGUACCUAAUCAGAAAGCCACGGCUAACUACGUG